rfam:Cavia porcellus supercont2_70 genomic scaffold, whole genome shotgun sequence.
GGGGAUUUAGCUCAGUGGUAGAAGCACCUGCCUUGCAAGCAGGCAGUUGUGAGUUCAAUCCCUG